UGAGGAAUAUUGGUCAAUGGGCGAGAGCCUGAACCAGCCACGUCGCGUGAAGGAAGACUGUCCUUACGGUUUGUAAACUUCUUUUGUAGAGGGGUAAUGGCAGAUACGUGUAUUUGCGUGAAAGUACUCUACGAAUAAGCAUCGGCUAACUCCGUGCCAGCAGCCGCGGUAAUACGGGGGAUGCGACCGUUAUCCGGUAUUAUUGGGUUUAAAGGGUGCGCAGGUGGCUAAUCAGGUCAGUGGUGAAAAGCUAUGGCUCAACCAUGGUCUUGCCAUUGAAACCGUAUAGCUAGAGAGGAGACGAGGUAGGCGGAAUGUGUGGUGUAGCGGUGAAAUGCAUAGAUAUCACACAGAGCUCCGAUUGCGAAGGCAGCUUACCAGGCUUUAUCUGACACUUAGGCACGACAGCGUGGGGAUCAAACAGG
rnacentral:rRNA from 1 species